GAUUAAAUGGCUGAAGUUUAGGCUGUAGAUUGUAAAUCUAUAAAUGGGAGGUUUCUCUUUAAUCA
rnacentral:tRNA from 1 species